GUGCUCACUUUGGCAGCACAUUCACAAAAAUUAGAAGAGUAGAGAGAAGCUUAGCAUGGCCCCUGUGCAAGAAUAUCAUAUGAAUUUAUGAAGUAGUCCAUAUUACU
ensembl:snRNA U6 U6 spliceosomal RNA